rnacentral:rRNA from 2 species
AUACCGGCAGUUCGAGUGAUGGCCGAUUUUAUUGGGCCUAAAGCGUUCGUAGCUGGCCAGUCAAGUCUGUCGGGAAACCUGCUCGCUCAACGAGCAGCCGUCCGGCGGAAACUGAUUGGCUUGGGACCGGAAGACCUGAAGAGUACGUCCGGGGUAGGAGUGAAAUCCUGUAAUCCUGGACGGACUACCGAUGGCGAAAGCACUUCAGGAGCACGGAUCCGACAGUGAGGAACGAAAGCUGGGGUCUCGAACCGGAUUAGAUACCCGGGUAGUCCCUGCCGUAAACGAUGUCUGCUAGGUAUGGCACAGGCUACGAGCCUGUGCUAUGCCGCAGCGAAGGCGCUAAGCAGACCGCCUGGGAAGUACGUUCGCAAGAAUGAA